ACAGUGCAACAGUUUAAUGAACAGCUACAACAGUUCCCCUUUGGACAAAACAAUAUAACUCACAGGCCUGUUUUGCUGAAGCCAUCUGCUCUGCAGCAAGGUGCCAUCCCAGGAAAAGCUGUUGAAAAACUGACCCUUUUCCGACUCUUACCUUUUUUAAUUGGAGCUCCAUCCCUCAGGACAACACUUACUGGACUUUUUAUUUAUGCUAUUUAGAUAUAUGUGACAUAGUUCUGGUACCUGUGAUCAAAACAAGUUGGUUGAGUCCAUUGUCUGCUCUCAUCACAGAAUUUCUGAAGAGUUUUCAGAAGCUUUUCCCUGACAAAUUCACUCCAAAGAUCCACUUUCUGGUUCACUAUCCUCGAUUAAUCAAACAGCACGGUCCACUGAGAGCACAUUGGUGUCUCAGGUGUGAGGCCAAACACCUGUACUUUAAACACCUUUCAUCAAUUGUAAACAAUUACCAGAAUAUUGCAAAGACUCUGGCAAAUCGCUAUCAAAUGCGCCAGUGUUGGGAAGCACAAUCAACUGGACACCAUGUCUCGGAAGAUGUCCCGUACUCUUUAAUAGAUAUACGUUUGAAUGCACUACCGUCUCAGCUUAGAGAGAUUAAUGCAGAGGACUCUGCUGAACUGAAUGAGACACUCUGGAAAACCAAACAAGUGAUAUAUGACAGAGUCAAAUACACCACUGGAGACUUCUUGAACCUUGACCUUGUGCAUGCUGAGGAAAUCCCAGUUUUUUUUUAAAGUUAUACAUAUUGUCAAGUACCACAGUCAGUGGAAAUUGUGCGGAAGACUCUACCAAACUUGGUGCUUCUCUGAGCAUCUGCAUGCUUAUGGUGUCCGAUCAACAACUCAGUGGGUGGCCAUUACACCUGGGGAGGAAACUGACUUCCAUGCCCUUGACGCAUACACCGAUCAAGAGGACAACCUGUUCAUCACACUGCUUCAUCGCCCUAACAUGAGAUAGAUGGAGCCACUCUUGCUGUUAUCUCAGAGGGGAUGUCUGAGAGGCUCAUUCUGGUCAUUAGCAAACAGAGUCUGUUUCUGGCCCAGUUGGAGAAACUUAAAAGCACACCAAUGAGCAGAGAGAACCCUCCAAGAAACGAUGAUAACUCCAGCCAAGCACAGUCCGGUCCAGAUACCUCUUUAGUUUUUCCAACAGUGCUGAGGAUGGCCAUAAACAGAAGAGAUUCUGAUCUGAAGAGUGCAAGUAAAACAAAACUACGGAGUCUACUGAUCCAGUCUCUUUUUGACCACCUCAGUAAGAAAACAAUGUAAUUUGCUACUACUUGUGCCUUUCUAGCUUGAUAAAUGCUUGAUUAAUUGCACUGCAACAAAUACAAUAUUAAUACAUGAUUCUUGCCAGACGUACAUAAGGGUCAUAUGUAACAAA